rnacentral:rRNA from 1 species
UACGUAGGGUGCGAGCGUUAAUCGGAAUUACUGGGCGUAAAGCGUGCGCAGGCGGUUCGUUGUGUCGGCGGUGAAAGCCCCGGGCUCAACCUGGGAAUGGCCGUUGAAACUGGCGAACUGGAGUGUGGCAGAGGGGGGUGGAAUUCCGCGUGUAGCAGUGAAAUGCGUAGAGAUCCGGAAGAACACCGGUGGCGAAGGCGGCCUGCUGGGCAGUUGCUGACACUGAGGCGCGACAGCGUGGGGAGCAAACAGG